CACUCCUACGGGAGGCAGCAGUGGGGAAUUUUGGACAAUGGGCGCAAGCCUGAUCCAGCCAUGCCGCGUGCGGGAAGAAGGCCUUCGGGUUGUAAACCGCUUUUGUCAGGGAAGAAAAGGUUCUGGCUAAUACCUGGGACUCAUGACGGUACCUGAAGAAUAAGCACCGGCUAACUACGUGCCAGCAGCCGCGGUAAUACGUAGGGUGCAAGCGUUAAUCGGAAUUACUGGGCGUAAAGCGUGCGCAGGCGGUUAUGCAAGACAGAGGUGAAAUCCCCGGGCUCAACCUGGGAACUGCCUUUGUGACUGCAUGGCUAGAGUACGGUAGAGGGGGAUGGAAUUCCGCGUGUAGCAGUGAAAUGCGUAGAUAUGCGGAGGAACACCGAUGGCGAAGGCAAUCCCCUGGACCUGUACUGACGCUCAUGCACGAAAGCGUGGGGAGCAAACAGGAUUAGAAACCCCAGUAGUCCCAUG
rnacentral:rRNA from 1 species